rnacentral:rRNA from 1 species
CGGGACACGUGGUAUCCUGUCUGAAUAUGGGGGGACCAUCCUCCAAGGCUAAAUACUCCUGACUGACCGAUAGUGAACCAGUACCGUGAGGGAAAGGCGAAAAGAACCCCGGCGAGGGGAGUGAAAAAGAACCUGAAACCGUGUACGUACAAGCAGUGGGAGCACGCUUAGGCGUGUGACUGCGUACCUUUUGUAUAAUGGGUCAGCGACUUAUAUUCUGUAGCAAGGUUAACCGAAUAGGGGAGCCGAAGGGAAACCGAGUCUUAACUGGGCGUUAAGUUGCAGGGUAUAGACCCGAAACCCGGUGAUCUAGCCAUGGGCAGGUUGAAGGUUGGGUAACACUAACUGGAGGACCGAACCGACUAAUGUUGAAAAAUUAGCGGAUGACUUGUGGCUGGGGGUGAAAGGCCAAUCAAACCGGGAGAUAGCUGGUUCUCCCCGAAAGCUAUUUAGGUAGCGCCUCGUGAAUUCAUCUCCGGGGGUAGAGCACUGUUUCGGCAAGGGGGUCAUCCCGACUUACCAACCCGAUGCAAACUGCGAAUACCGGAGAAUGUUAUCACGGGAGACACACGGCGGGUGCUAACGUCCGUCGUGAAGAGGGAAACAACCCAGACCGCCAGCUAAGGUCCCAAAGUCAUGGUUAAGUGGGAAACGAUGUGGGAAGGCCCAGACAGCCAGGAUGUUGGCUUAGAAGCAGCCAUCAUUUAAAGAAAGCGUAAUAGCUCACUGGUCGAGUCGGCCUGCGCGGAAGAUGUAACGGGGCUAAACCAUGCACCGAAGCUGCGGCAGCGACGCUGAUGCGUUGUUGGGUAGGGGAGCGUUCUGUAAGCCUGUGAAGGUGUGCUGUGAGGCAUGCUGGAGGUAUCAGAAGUGCGAAUGCUGACAUAAGUAACGAUAAAGCGGGUGAAAAGCCCGCUCGCCGGAAGACCAAGGGUUCCUGUCCAACGUUAAUCGGGGCAGGGUGAGUCGACCCCUAAGGCGAGGCCGAAAGGCGUAGUCGAUGGGAAACAGGUUAAUAUUCCUGUACUUGGUGUUACUGCGAAGGGGGGACGGAGAAGGCUAUGUUGGCCGGGCGACGGUUGUCCCGGUUUAAGCGUGUAGGCUGGUUUUCCAGGCAAAUCCGGAAAAUCAAGGCUGAGGCGUGAUGACGAGGCACUACGGUGCUGAAGCAACAAAUGCCCUGCUUCCAGGAAAAGCCUCUAAGCAUCAGGUAACAUCAAAUCGUACCCCAAACCGACACAGGUGGUCAGGUAGAGAAUACCAAGGCGCUUGAGAGAACUCGGGUGAAGGAACUAGGCAAAAUGGUGCCGUAACUUCGGGAGAAGGCACGCUGAUAUGUAGGUGAAGCGACUUGCUCGUGGAGCUGAAAUCAGUCGAAGAUACCAGCUGGCUGCAACUGUUUAUUAAAAACACAGCACUGUGCAAACACGAAAGUGGACGUAUACGGUGUGACGCCUGCCCGGUGCCGGAAGGUUAAUUGAUGGGGUCAGCGCAAGCGAAGCUCUUGAUCGAAGCCCCGGUAAACGGCGGCCGUAACUAUAACGGUCCUAAGGUAGCGAAAUUCCUUGUCGGGUAAGUUCCGACCUGCACGAAUGGCGUAAUGAUGGCCAGGCUGUCUCCACCCGAGACUCAGUGAAAUUGAACUCGCUGUGAAGAUGCAGUGUACCCGCGGCAAGACGGAAAGACCCCGUGAACCUUUACUAUAGCUUGACACUGAACAUUGAGCCUUGAUGUGUAGGAUAGGUGGGAGGCUUUGAAGUGUGGACGCCAGUCUGCAUGGAGCCGGCCUUGAAAUACCACCCUUUAAUGUUUGAUGUUCUAACGUUGACCCGUGAUCCGGGUUGCGGACAGUGUCUGGUGGGUAGUUUGACUGGGGCGGUCUCCUCCUAAAGAGUAACGGAGGAGCACGAAGGUUGGCUAAUCCUGGUCGGACAUCAGGAGGUUAGUGCAAUGGCAUAAGCCAGCUUGACUGCGAGCGUGACGGCGCGAGCAGGUGCGAAAGCAGGUCAUAGUGAUCCGGUGGUUCUGAAUGGAAGGGCCAUCGCUCAACGGAUAAAAGGUACUCCGGGGAUAACAGGCUGAUACCGCCCAAGAGUUCAUAUCGACGGCGGUGUUUGGCACCUCGAUGUCGGCUCAUCACAUCCUGGGGCUGAAGUAGGUCCCAAGGGUAUGGCUGUUCGCCAUUUAAAGUGGUACGCGAGCUGGGUUUAGAACGUCGUGAGACAGUUCGGUCCCUAUCUGCCGUGGGCGCUGGAGAACUGAGGGGGGCUG